rnacentral:rRNA from 1 species
GACGAACGCUGGCGGCGUGCUUAACACAUGCCAGUCGAACGGAAAGGCCCUGCUUUUGUGGGGUGCUCGAGUGGCGAACGGGUGGGUAACACGUGAGUAACCUGCCCUUGACUUUGGGAUAACUUCAGGAAACUGGGGCUAAUACCGGAUAGGAGCUCCUGCUGCAUGGUGGGGGUUGGAAAGUUUCGGCGGUUGGGGAUGGACUCGCGGCUUAUCAGCUUGUUGGUGGGGUAGUGGCUUACCAAGGCUUUGACGGGUAGCCGGCCUGAGAGGGUGACCGGCCACAUUGGGACUGAGAUACGGCCCAGACUCCUACGGGAGGCAGCAGUGGGGAAUAUUGCACAAUGGGCGGAAGCCUGAUGCAGCAACGCCGCGUGCGGGAUGACGGCUUUCGGGUUGUAAACCGCUUUCGCCUGUGACGAAGCGUGAGUGACGGUAAUGGGUAAAGAAGCACCGGCUAACUACGUG